CAGCAACCAUAACGAAGGGCCCCACCUGAUUCCAUUCCGAACUCAGCAGUUAAGACCUUCCGUGCCGACAAUACCGUAAGGGAAGAUAGGUCGUUGCUUUUUU
rnacentral:rRNA from 1 species